GUCUCUGGAGAACCUCAGAAAAUGAGUGCCGAAGGUGCAAUGCACAGUUUGCUGUGCAGAAUCUCUCAGGCAAAAGGACAGAGUCAGA
rnacentral:ncRNA from 1 species